rnacentral:misc_RNA from 1 species
UCUCCGUUGGUGAACCAGCGGAGGGAUCAUUACAGAGUUGCAAACUCCCAAACCAUUGUGAACGUUACCUAUCCCGUUGCUUCGGCGGGCGGCCCGGGCCCCGUGCCCGGCGCCCCCCGGCCCCCCGUGGGCGCCCGCCGGAGGUAAACCAAACCCUUGAAUUGUAUGGCCUCUCUGAGUCUUCUGUACUGAAUAAGUCAAAACUUUCAACAACGGAUCUCUUGGUUCUG